rnacentral:rRNA from 1 species
AUUGAACGCUGGCGGCAGGCCUAACACAUGCAAGUCGAGCGGAUGAAGGGAGCUUGCUCCUGGAUUCAGCGGCGGACGGGUGAGUAAUGCCUAGGAAUCUGCCUGGUAGUGGGGGAUAACGUCCGGAAACGGGCGCUAAUACCGCAUACGUCCUGAGGUAGAAAGGGGGGGAUCUUCGGACCUCACGCUAUCAGAUGAGCCUAGGUCGGAUUAGCUAGUUGGUGGGGUAAAGGCCUACCAAGGCGACGAUCCGUAACUGGUCUGAGAGGAUGAUCAGUCACACUGGAACUGAGACACGGUCCAGACUCCUACGGGAGGCAGCAGUGGGGAAUAUUGGACAAUGGGCGAAAGCCUGAUCCAGCCAUGCCGCGUGUGUGAAGAAGGUCUUCGGAUUGUAAAGCACUUUAAGUUGGGAGGAGGGGCAGUAAGUUAAUACCUUGCUGUUUUGACGUUACCAACAGAAUAAGCACCGGCUAACUUCGUG